UACGUAGGGUGCGAGCGUUGUCCGGAAUUAUUGGGCGUAAAGAGCUUGUAGGCGGUUUGUCGCGUCUGCUGUGAAAAUCCGGGGCUCAACCCCGGACUUGCAGUGGGUACGGGCAGACUAGAGUGUGGUAGGGGAGACUGGAAUUCCUGGUGUAGCGGUGGAAUGCGCAGAUAUCAGGAAGAACACCAAUGGCGAAGGCAGCUCUCUGGGACGGUACUGACGCUGAGACGCGAAAGCGUGGGGAGCGAACAGG
rnacentral:rRNA from 1 species